AUGGCGCCGACCAAGGGCGAGGGGCCGGCCAUCGGCAUCGACCUCGGCACCACCUACUCGUGCGUCGGCGUGUGGCAGCACGACCGCGUCGAGAUCAUCGCCAACGACCAGGGCAACCGCACCACGCCCUCGUACGUCGCCUUCACCGACUCGGAGCGCCUCAUCGGCGAUGCCGCCAAGAACCAGGUCGCCAUGAACCCCAUCAACACCGUCUUCGAUGCGAAGCGUCUUAUUGGCAGAAGGUUUGCUGAUGCCCCUGUCCAGAGUGAUAUUAAGAUGUGGCCGUACAAGGUUAUUCCUGGCCCCGCAGACAAGCCUAUGAUUGUAGUGCAGUACAAGGGUGAGGACAAGCAGUUCUCAGCUGAAGAAAUUUCUUCCAUGGUCCUCAUCAAGAUGCGUGAGAUCGCUGAGGCUUACCUAGGAGUAACUAUUAAGAAUGCUGUUGUCACCGUGCCUGCUUACUUCAAUGAUUCCCAGAGGCAGGCAACCAAGGAUGCCGGUGUUAUUGCUGGUCUUAAUGUGAUGCGUAUCAUCAACGAGCCAACAGCAGCUGCAAUUGCUUAUGGUCUUGACAAGAAGGCUACCAGUGUCGGUGAGAAGAAUGUGCUUAUCUUUGACCUUGGUGGUGGCACUUUUGAUGUCUCUCUCCUUACCAUUGAGGAGGGUAUUUUUGAGGUGAAGGCCACGGCUGGUGACACUCACCUUGGUGGGGAGGACUUUGACAACCGUAUGGUGAACCACUUUGUCCAAGAGUUCAAGAGGAAGCACAAGAAGGAUAUCAGUGGAAACCCCAGGUCUUUGAGAAGGCUCAGGACUUCUUGUGAGAGGGCGAAGAGGACCCUUUCUUCCACUGCCCAAACCACCAUUGAGAUCGAUUCACUCUUCGAGGGAGUUGAUUUCUAUUCCACCAUCACCAGGGCCAGGUUUGAGGAGCUCAACAUGGACCUCUUCAGGAAGUGCAUGGAGCCAGUGGAGAAGUGCCUGAGGGAUGCCAAGAUGGACAAGAGCACUAUCCAUGAUGUUGUGCUUGUUGGUGGUUCCACCAGAAUCCCCAGAGUUCAGCAGCUGCUGCAGGACUUCUUCAACGGGAAGGAGCUCUGCAAGAGCAUCAACCCUGAUGAAGCUGUUGCCUACGGUGCUGCCGUCCAGGCUGCAAUCCUCAGCGGUGAGGGGAACGAGAAGGUGCAGGACCUUCUCCUCCUGGAUGUCACCCCACUGUCUCUUGGUCUUGAGACUGCUGGAGGAGUCAUGACUGUGCUCAUCACCAGGAACACCACCAUCCCCACCAAGAAGGAGCAGGUCUUCUCCACCUACUCCGACAACCAGCCUGGUGUGCUCAUCCAGGUGUUUGAGGGUGAGAGGACAAGGACCAGGGACAACAACCUGCUCGGCAAGUUUGAGCUCUCUGGCAUCCCGCCUGCGCCCAGGGGUGUUCCCCAGAUCACUGUCUGCUUCGACAUUGAUGCCAACGGUAUCCUGAAUGUCUCUGCUGAGGACAAGACCACUGGCCAGAAGAACAAGAUCACCAUCACCAACGACAAGGGCAGGCUGAGCAAGGACGACAUUGAGAAGAUGGUCCAGGACGCAGAGAAGUACAAGUCUGAGGACGAGGAGCACAAGAAGAAGGUUGACGCCAAGAACUCCCUGGAGAACUACGCCUACAACAUGAGGAACACCAUCCAGGACGAGAAGAUCGCCUCCAAGCUGCCUGCUGAUGACAAGAAGAAGAUCGAGGACGCCGUUGACGCCGCGAUCCAGUGGCUUGACGCCAACCAGCUCGGUGAGGUUGACGAGUUUGAGGACAAGAUGAAGGAGCUGGAGGGCCUCUGCAACCCCAUCAUCGCCAAGAUGUACCAGGGCGCCGGUGCUGGCAUGCCCGGAGGCAUGGACGAGGACGCGCCGGCUGCGAGCGGCGGUGCUGGCCCCAAGAUCGAGGAGGUCGACUAA
rnacentral:rRNA from 1 species